ACACAUGCAGUCGAGGGGUACGUGAAGCAAGCUUGCUUGCUUUGACGACGACCGGCGCACGGGUGAGUAACGCGUAUCCAACCUGCCCCUUACUACGGGACAGCCCGGCGAAAGUCGGAUUAAUACCGUAUGUGGUGUGAAGAGGGCAUCUGACUUACACUAAAGAUUCGUCGGUAAGGGAUGGGGAUGCGUCCGAUUAGGUUGUCGGCGGGGUAACGGCCCACCGAGCCUUCGAUCGGUAGGGGUUCUGAGAGGAAGGUCCCCCACACUGGAACUGAGACACGGUCCAGACUCCUACGGGAGGCAGCAGUGAGGAAUAUUGGUCAAUGGGCGAGAGCCUGAACCAGCCCAAGUAGCGUGAGGGAAGACUGCCCUAUGGGUUGUAAACCUCUUUAGUCUGGGAAUAAAGUUGGCGACGUGUCGCCUUUUGUAGGUACCAGAAGAAUAAGGACCGGCUAAUUCCGUGCCAGCAGCCGCGGUAAUACGGAACGGUCCGGGCGUUAUCCGGAUUUAUUGGGUUUAAAGGGAGCGCAGGCGGCCUGUUAAGCGGGCAGUUAAAGGCGGUGGCUCAACCAUCGUUAGCUGUCCGAACUGAUAGGCUUGAGUACGUGCGAGGUAUGCGGACAUUCGUGGUGUAGCGGUGAAAUGCUUAGAUAUCACGAAGAACCCCGAUUGCGAAGGCAGCAUACCAGUGCGCCACUGACGCUAAAGCUCGAAAGCGCGGGUAUCGAACAGGAUUAGAUACCCUGGUAGUCCGCGCGGUAAACGAUGGAUGCCCGCUGUGCGGCCUUUUAUGGUUGCGCGGCCAAGCGAAAGCGUUAAGCAUCCCACCUGGGGAGUACGCCGGCAACGGUGAAACUCAAAGGAAUUGACGGGGGCCCGCACAAGCGGAGGAACAUGUGGUUUAAUUCGAUGAUACGCGAGGAACCUUACCCGGGCUUGAAUUGCAGCUGCAUGGGGCAGAGAUGUCCCUUCCCUCGGG
rnacentral:rRNA from 1 species